UUAUCGGGCGGCGGGCGGCGGGGCUGGCGGGGGCAGAUAGGCUCGUUCGCUCGCUCUCUCGCUCGCCCGUUCGCUCGCCCGUUCGCCCGCCCGCUCGCCCGCCCGCGCGCCGCUGUCACGCUCUCGGUCGGAUGCGCCGCAGCCCCGGUAGCCCGCCAGCGCGACUCGGUGGCCGGGCGAGCAGAGAGAGCUCAGGGCAUCCCCGCCGCAGCCGCCGCGGCCGGAGGGAUGCGGUGUCGCCGUCCUUAGGGCGAACACCCGAGCCCCAGCCCGGCGCCGGCGCCCAGAGGGAUGUGGAGCCACAGAGGCAGCGGACCCUGUGACUGACACAGCCCCGCCAGCCCGCAGCUGAAUGGAAAGACUGCAGAAG